UACGAAGGGGGCUAGCGUUGCUCGGAAUCACUGGGCGUAAAGCGCACGUAGGCGGCUUUUUAAGUCAGGGGUGAAAUCCUGGAGCUUAACUCCAGAACUGCCUUUGAUACUGGGAGCUAGAGUCCGGAAGAGGUGAGUGGAACUGCGAGUGUAGAGGUGAAAUUCGUAGAUAUUCGCAAGAACACCAGUGGCGAAGGCGGCUCACUGGUCCGGUACUGACGCUGAGGUGCGAAAGCCAGGGGAGCAAAGCGGG
rnacentral:rRNA from 1 species